rfam:Oryza rufipogon genomic scaffold, chr12
AAAAAGUAUAGUUUUGUACUAUUAAUAUCCAACGUUUCACCGUUUAUCUUAUUUGAAAUUUUUUAUGAUUAGUAUUUUUUAUUGUUGUUAGAUGAUAAAACACGAAGAGACUAUUUUUUAAAAAAAUUAUAAAUUUUUCAAAUAAGACGGACGGUCAAACGUUGGACACGGAUUUCUAUAACUGCACUUAUU